CCCACCAAGAAGAAGGUGGCGUAUUUCAGCAUACCAAAAGGAUUAGGGUCUUGUCAAUGAGGAUCAAGCAUAGCAAUUAGAAAAUUGAGGGAGUUCAACGAGUUGGAGAGAAUAAAAAAUAGUGAAGUUAUCCCUGUUUGGCAAAGGAGAAAGAAAAAAAAAGUGCAAAAGUUUGACACUGCAAAAUUGUAAAGCAAAGAAUGUUAUCAACAGUCAGCAACAUCUGCAAAUUCGAAUAAUUUUCGAUUCUUUGGGUGAUUCAAAAAGACAUACGGAUUGCUGACGAGUUUGAUAUUUCGACACGAGUACUAAACAACAGUUGAAGGGCGAGGAUUUCGUUAGUCAGACGCACAAGUUGAUAGUUUCUGGUGAGCCUCGCAUUUGUUCGCGUGGGCAGCAAUUUUAUUUAUUGUUAUGGCCGUUUCUUUGAACUCUUAGAGCCGCUCUAUAGUUAAAUUCUUUUUGUGUCUUGAGUAUUCUUCGUUAUUAUAGAUUUAUGUUGAGUAUCGCUCAUUCUUAUCAAAUUUGGAGAUAAAGUAGAAUUUUUAGUUGUUGGUGGGUUGACUAUUAAAGGUAGAUAUUUAUUUUGGUUAAUUGAUAAGGUCAUUGUCAUUUGAAUUGCUA